UUAUGGCCAUAUCAUGUUGAAACAUCAGUUCCUAUACGAUCACUGAAGAUAAGCAACAUCAAGCCUGGUCAGUACCAAGAUGGUUGACUGUUUGGGAAUACAAAGUGCUGUAAG